AUACUCCAGUAUGCUAUGCUUCAUCUUUUCUUCUCCUUGUUCAUCUUCCUUCCUCUCAAAUUUUUUAUUUCUCUUUUUGUCCUUAUAUAUGUAUUAUACUGUUAUGAACCAAUUGUCCCACGUUGAAAAAAUAGAGAAAUGUUAAGGGGAUUAUAAACUAAAUGGGUUCUUCUACCUAUUAGACUAGUCUUUUGGUUAGGCUCUCUCGUUUGAUUUAUAACAUUGGUGCUCUCGUUGAGAGUCUCACGUGUUGAGCCGUGACUCGAAGUGAUGACCUACGUGCCAGCAGUGGUGGUCUGGACCCAAGAUGAGUACCAGCCGUAACCAACGAGGAUCGAUCCACGCGUGGAGCCACGACUUAGUGUGGUGGCCUGGACCUAAGAGGGAUGCUAUCCGUGACUAAUUGGGCUCAGCUAUGACCAACGAGGUCAUUGAUUCUCAAGCGAAAAUGAUUGUUAUGAAUCAAUUAUCCCAUAUUAAAGUAGUGGCUGGACCUAAGAUGGAUGCCAACUGUGACCAAUGAGGUUGUUGCUUCUCAAGCGAAAGCAUUGUUAUGAACCAAUUAUCAUAGAGAAAUGCUAGUGGAGUUAUAUACCAAAUCAGUUCUUUCACCUACUAAUUGAGUUCACGUUUGAUUUAUAACCUACAAAAUUUUUUAUUUUUUAAACUUUCAAACUAUUACUCCUUCAAUUCAUAUUUCUCUCAUUUUUUUUUUCUCAAAUAAUUUCUGGAUCUCUUUCCACUUUGUAUUUCAUGGAUGAUAUUAUUGAUGUUUUCGUUUUUUAAAUUCUAAAUUUUGAACGAAUUGAUAAUUCUGUUAGCCAGGUGCAGGUCUUUUACAAUCCUCCUUUACUAAUUGCUACUCCUUCCCUAUUCGAAGUUACAUCUAUCUCUUCGGGGAUAUAGGUCUGUAUUUCUGUUGUGAAGGAUGUUGAUCAAGUGAGUUGAAAGGGGAAGAGAGAAACAUGUUGUCGGUGCUAAGCUCUCCAAUUCUUUCUCAGCUAACGAUGUCCUGGAUUCUGAGGACAAGUUUUAUAACCAAGCAACUUUCAACUUGUCCAAAGCAUCUGGUGUAGAUAAAGUUGCAAAAUUUACACCCAAUGCAAUUGGAAAUUCGAAUUACGCUGCUGUAAAGGCUGGAUUUACCGUCCCCAAAACUGAUCAAACAACAAGAACUUCCUUCAAGGAGAGUCACAUAUUCCAUAGAUACACUGGGAUUGAAAAAAGAAUCUGCAAUUGCCAUAGAUAUUUCAAUGGAUGUCAAUGUUGUGGUGAUCUACUUGGCCAUUGUUAUUGCAGCCUCUUCAAACUGUACUAAGUCACCUCUCAUUACUUCAUCAAGACCGUGAAUACGAGCAAUGCCAUCACCUACUUGAAGUACAGGUGCCUUGACCAAUUUAAAUACAGUGGUAGCGCCAUAAUUUUGGUUAUUGGUUCUGUGAAAUCAAAUUUCUGACUUUAAGACGUAAAUCUUUAGUUUGUAAUGGUAUUUUUUACUACUUCUCAAAGAAACAAGAAACUUUUACCUUGUUUGGAAUAAAAGAUAGUAUUAAAAACACUUGAAACAACAACAUCCACUGUAAUCCAAUCAACCGGAGUCUGAAAGGGUAGGGUAGAGUGUAUGUAAACCUUUUCUCCACUUCCUUGUUAGAUAGAUACUUUCCGAUAGAACCUCCACAUUCAAAACUUUUGAAACGUGUAUAUAUUACAGGUUCCUGUAGUCCAAAUAAGAUUUUUGUUGCACUAAGUUAAAAGGUUUUCCUUGAUAGAUCAUUACAUCUCUGAAUCAGCUGAAAGGCAAAUACUUGUGCCAAAGUCCAAAUAUGCCAAAGGAUUUAAUUUAUCAGGCAAUAAAUGGUGGUCGAAACAAAAACAGGAAACAAUUGUUUUUUCGUUAAGAAUUCAAUAAGUGUCGCUCCGACUCAAAUAUGUUUCAACAGUAUGGCUCUACCCUCAAAAUUUAGGCCAGCAUUAGAGUGACUGCAUUUUUUCGUGAGCCUUGGGAGUAGGUAAAAAGAGCAGCAAGCGAUCAUUUAUUUUUAUUUUUUUUAUAAUCGUGGUUUCCGGACCAGCUUGCCCGCACCUUGACUAAUUCCACGUGGCUUCAACAAUUGCAGGAAAAACAUGUAUUCCUGAUUUAACCUUUAGUAUUAAUUGUCAAAGUCAGAGUUGUAAAGUAUCAUUAAUAAGUAUAAUCUCCUUAGUUUUGUAUGUAAAUAAUAUGCUAACUUACCUCCCCUACUUGUUGGAGUUCCUGGACCAAAAGUACUGAGAAACAUGAUCCAAAA